UAUCUAGGGGGAGCCAUCUCAAUAUUUUUCAAUAAAAUAGCAAUUACCUAUCAAUUUUGUGUAAUAAAAGCCUGGUAGAAUAAUAAUGUCCCGGCCAUCUAGACUUCAAAUCGUUGCAAAAACUGACCUACUAAUGUCAUGCAAAAUCUGACCAAGAUACUUGACAAGACAUUUUCCAUUGGUCAAAAUACCGGAAGCCAUCAAUUUUACUCAAAUUAAAUCACAUUUGACACUCAUUUCAUCUUUGCAAUGCCUGUGGUCUUUACGAAAAGUGUUAAAAUUUUUGUAUAACUUUUGACGAUUUUUUCUUUGGACUAUAUUAUGUCCAGGUCCUGUAGUAAUUACGCUGGCUGCAUCUUACUGGUCAAAAGUGUAGGACCGUUUCGUUUUUUCUGUUACCUUACGUAAACAGCAAUAGGAAUGUCAAUCAUAUCUGGUGACAAGCUUGACAGUUGCAUCAAACAUUACAAGGAGCACGGCCUCACACCACGAGUAAAGAAAUCUGGUGGAAGACGAGCUGAACGUCGAUAUUUGACCUAUGAUGAUAUCAAGCGUGUUGUGUCGUACAUCACCUCCUUCACAGAAACUCAUGGAAUCAUCUUACCAGGAAGGAUUCCAGGGUUUAAAGAUUUCACAAUGAAACUGCUUCCAUCAUCAGAAACUAAGGCCUCUGUCUUCCGUAGUUAUGAUACCGCUAUGGAUGAGUUAGGAGAACGUGCAGUAAAGAUAUCAAGUUUUCGGCAACUCUGGAAUACACUACUUCCAUUCAUAGUGUUUUGUAAACCCCAAACUGACCUUUGUUGGACCUGCCAACAAAAUAACUAUCAAGUUUAUAGGAGCCACAAUCUCCCUGAUGAAGUAAAGAAUGCCAAAUUACGUAAGCAGCUUGGUCAUCUUCAGCUGGUGGAGGCAGAACGGAAUGAAUACAGACGAAUGGUGGCUGAUGGGAAAGGUGUUGCUGCAGAAAUUGAACAACCGUUGAAGCUGGGUCCUCAUCUACCCAUGUCGGGUGAUUUUCACAUGCAUUAUUCUUUCGAUUUAUGGAGUUCUAUGAUGAACAUUGUCUGCUUACGGUAAGCAGAAAUAAGGAAUCUGAUUGGUUGAUGCUUUAAGACACGAUAACUUUGGUUAUAAUGAAGUGAGAGCGAUGGAACUCCGGAUAUAGAUUCAUUAUGUCAUUACCUUGACUAAUUUCAAUGGUGAGAAUUUUCUUCAUGGGCUAAUGAGCGAUAAGCAAUUUGAUUGGUCAAGACUUUGGAACAUAACAACUCUGCUUUUAAUUGAUGUAGAAUGUUUAGACUUGAUGUAGAUGUUCAUUAGGUGAAUGUCUUGACUGAGUUCAAUGAUUAACAUUUCGAGCCGAAGCUAAGCAGAGCUAAUCAAUUUCAU